UUAAAAGAUUAUUCAAUCCUUCAAGAGUUAACAAAAUGAUGAAAUCAUUAAUUUACACCGCUAUUCUUCUGGUGACAGUUUUCAUCGCUGAAAGCUAUUGUCAUCGUGUCUGUGAUGCGGACUGUGUCGGUGGAUGUGUAGCACUUCAAGAAGUAUUCACUUUCUUGAACUUGGCAUAUUUUAAAGAAUUUUGUGCUGCUUUAUGUAUAGAUCUAUGAGUGUCAGAAUAAACGCACAAUGAAUACCUAACAAGUCAA